rnacentral:lncRNA from 1 species
UUAUUUCUGUUUAUCUAUUUUCUGUUUCUUUUAGUUUUACUUUAUAUGUAGUUUUAUAAUAUAUCAACUCAGUCCCUAAAUUAGCAUUAUUAGUUAGGCUACUGCCAUAAUUAAUUUGGCACUAAAUAAAUUAGUUUUACAUUUGUUUAUUAUUUAAAAUUAUUUAAUAAUUGUUUUAGCCCCUGUUUUUAUUUAGUUUAGGCACUUAAACAUUUUGAAAAAGGUUGGUUCCAACAUCCAAAAUAAGUUAGGGAUUAUUUGCCACAUGAUGAUCAUUUUAGUUUUCAUGUUUGAGAAGUUUAGAAUUUCACUUAUUAUUUGAAUUUGAAUUUGAACCGGAUUUGGGUCAAUGUGAGAUUAGUAAUAGUAAUAGUGGUGACAUGGCAUCAUUAGCAAAGGAUCACUGUAGCUUAAUUACCCGGGCGUCACAAUUCUCCUCCACUACAAGAAGUCUCGUCCCGAGAUUUAAGAGGGGAGUAAGGGGGAAAGUUCUUGUUACGAUAUUCUAACCAAUCUUCUCGGUCUUGGUUGCUCUUCUCGAAGAGGUCGAUCCAUAGCAUUGAUGUCUUCAUUCCUAUGCAUCAAUGCAUCAUGAUGAAGUUGUCGUCCUUCGUUUAGGAUCUUCACCGGACUUAUGAAAGGAUAAGAGGGAGAAAACUCAAUAAAGAUGGAUUCUAACAAAAUUGAGCAUCAGACGGUUAACUCAGGGGAAGAAGCAUACGUAUCUCUCGAAUUGAAACUUGAGAAAAUAUCGAGAGCAAAGUAAGGAGGUAUCAUGAUAAAUUUUGAGCGGGCAGGCAAUCGUUUAAUGCCUGAAACAAAGUGUGAAAGGGGUCAAGAGCAACGGGAAUAAGUAUUGCGUCUGAUACCAGAAUAGAUUACUAGGAUAGUGAACCCGUGAAAUACAUACGAAGUCAAGCACGAGGAAUAACUUUGGAAACCGGGGGUGUACAGGAGAGUCAGGUUUCGAUCCUGUGGAACUAUGGGUUAUGGGCCCACCAUGUGGGAUAAAAGUAGGAGGAGCGGUGACAUCUUGCAUGGUCAUGAUAGCAAGGCAUGUCAGAGGGUAGCCUGUCGAUUAUGUCGGCAACGACGUCGAUACCAAGGGCGAGGGACAAAGAGAACCAUUUUCCGGCUCGUUGAACGAGGCAGACCAAUAGGCAAAGUUCUCGUCCAUCGGUGUUACCGAAAUGUCAUCAACAAAAUUAACAGGGUCUUUCUAACAGAGUGGUACAACGAGGUGUUUACAUAAGCAGGGAUAUAUUACUGCUUAUACAAUAUAGAUCACAAGAAGGUUUAAACAAACCAAUGGAAAGGAAAAGUGAUUAUCAGGUUUAAACAGAACAAUGGAAAGGAAAAUGUGUUUAAACACAUAUUUCAAGGGUAUAUUCUUCCCAAGGACAAGCAAAGCAUGAUUUCCUUGACAGGAUAUAAUGUAGAAAACCCUUUAGGUAAAGGGGGGAUUUCAUGACAUUACCGAUACAGUGGUGUUUGGGUAAUUGAGCAGGAAACAUUUAGCAUUGGGCUUCAAAUGUUCUUGUUGAAAACUGGAGUACCACAGACAUGCUUCAAGAUAGCAUUGACAUGGUCUUCAAGCAAAGGUCGGACUCUGGAUACACGAAGGGAUUCAUCAUUAAGCCAAGGAGAGGAUGAGGAGGUGGCUGAUGGACUCAGCAAUAAUACAUCGAGGUAUCCAAAAAGAUGAAUUUCCAUAGUUAUUGAAGAAGGAGAUAAGAUUUGUCGGAUCAAAUGAUAAAAUGAUGUAUGCUCAAGGAAAAACAUACACAAUUAAACAUUAAUUGAAAAGGGUGCCCAAAGUAUGGGCUUAGGUAGCAUGAUCAAAUGUUAGAAUGGUGAUUCAGUGAUCAAUAGUCUAAGAAUGAACGUUCGACCAUUAACUUCAAAGCAAUAGGGUUGCUAGAAGGGCAGAAUCCAAACAGUAUCGUUCACCUGUUGGUAUCCCGGUUAGAACCAACUCGGGGACCAAGAAAGAAAGGUGAUGGUGAGAAGUAUUACCUGUAUCAAGAAUCCAUAAGAGGUGGUGAAAUUCUCACGACUUUCUUGACAUUAAAGAUGGUAAUACUCCAAGGUAAGGAAGAACAAAUGCUGGAUAGCAAGGAACUCAAGGUAUGACACAAAACACGAACAAGUUUGUGUCAAACGGAAGGCAAUAAAGUGGUAGAUGAUAAAACAAAUCAUCAAGGUCAAGAAUGGUAUUUCUCAUCAUGAAUUCGAUAUAUAUCUUGGAAGAGCUCAGGAUGUUGCUGAUGACCACGACACAUUUGUCAACAGAUUUCAUGAAGAUGUAAUUGGUCGGCGAUGACAUCAAGUCAAAUGAUGAUGCAGCGAAAGUCAAAUAAUACUUGAAGAAGAACUCAUAAGAAGUUAUGCAGUUCCGUGAUAAUCUCGAGAUACCAGAGGGGGUAAUACUCGAUGACAGAUCAAAGUAAAGGUUGGACUGGGGUAUUGCUCUAUACAAGACAAGCGCUUAAACUUGCAUGCGAAAUGGUAUUUAAAGGAGAACAUGGUCGGAACCACGAUUGCAAAAGGCCAGAUCCCGGAUAUAAGAUGAACUUAUACCAAAGGAAUAAUUUAAUUUAAGAGAAGCUUUAAUGAUAAGAUCUACAUCGUGUCCAUGGGCAUGAACACAAAGUUCAAGGUCGACUCCCACUUCUCCAAUGCAUAACCUUCCAUUCACUUCUCACUUUCGAAGAAGUUGUAGUGUUGAAAUUUUAUUUGGAAAAUACCAGAAGUGUAUGACUCGUGAAAACUUUCGAGUUCACACAGUUUAGAGAAGGCAUAUGUUCAACCCAUAGGGGCUUCUUAGAAACAUAUACCACAAGUUUCAAGAGUAAAUAUCACAAGCUCGAAAGUAGAGCAAGGUUGUGAAAGUAGAUGAUACCAUUUACCAAAGGCAUUAUGUAUCCGAGGGAAGGCUCACAAGGUUAUUGAAUAUGAAGGACGAUGUCGGAUAAAAUCCAUUAAAGGAUCUGCCGGUCUAUAACAGAGCUGACGUAGCAUCGGCACACAACCAAAGGAAGUAACAAUGCAAAGGCAUUGGAUUAUGGAAACAACUGACUAAUCCAGAGCUCAAAUGCAAAGGAAUUAUGAUUUUCAGAUCAAGGGAUCAGAAGCAAUGUUCUGAUUAGGGAUGGAUAAGUUGAAUAGCCUUAGGGGUACAAUCGACGGCAAUUGGAUUUGUUGAGAACCAGCUCAUGUUUAAAAUGACGUCUGAGCCGGAAAGAUAGUAUAAAAGGAUCAACUGAUGAUUGCGUGCAUUCGCACUCAUGUUGAAUUAAAGGGAUCAAAAUGACGGUGUCUAAGGAUACUAACGAAUAUUGCCAGACAUAUGGAAAGCAUCCAUCAUGCAAGCAGACAAGUAUUGCAGAGCAAUAAGCUACUAAGGAUUUUUGGAGGAUCGAAUAGUAUUUCGGUGACCAUUAUGAAACACAUGAUCAAUUGGGGGAUGAGCGGAUACUCGAUAAGUGUGAGAAUUAUCCGUAGGGGUAUUCAUGUGACAAAAAAAACAGCAAGGCAGUAAGCUCAAAGGAUUAUCGAAACAACGACGAGUAUUUCGGGGUAUCUUGUAAUAACAAGACCAACUGGGAAUAAAAUUAAGAAUGACAGGUGUAAGUAUUUAUCCAUAGGGAUUUUUCACUGGUAGGGAAUUGCAAAAGCAAUGGCACAAGGUUUCGGGAGAACAUCGGAGAGUAUUAUCAGAAUCUUCUGUUGAAGCAGUCGAUCAUUUGUAAUGAAGGGCUCUCCGGGAGAAAGUGAUAACGAGAUCCUAAUGCUAGAUUUAGCAAAAUUCAUUUAACCCGAAUAGAAGAGAGUUCAGAGUCCCAAAGUAAAGAUCGAGGGGUAAAAGAUUCUAAUACCACCCAAAUGGCGACGUGGGCCCGUAAGGCACACAGCCAUGUUAGUAAAAGUUUUUGUAAAGUCUAGACUCAACUUCAACCAAGGAGUGUGGAAGGGGGGAUUCCUACAGGCAGCCGGCUCUGAUACCAACUUGUGACGCCCCCGAUUUGACCAUACACUAAUCAUACACGCAAACGUGUACGAUCAAGAUCAGUGACUCACGGGAAGAUAUCACAACACAACUCUACAAAUAAAAUAAGUCAUACAAGCAUCAUAUUACAAGCCAGGGGCCUCGAAGGCUCGAAUACAAGAGCUCGACCAUAGACGAGUCAGCGGAAGCAACAAUAUCUGAGUACAGACAUAAGUUAAACAAGUUUGCCUUAAGAAGGCUAACACAAACUGGGAUACAGAUCGAAAGAGGCGCAGGCCUCCUGCCUGGGAUCCUCCUAAACUACUCCUGGUCGCUGUUAGCGGGCUGCACGUAGUAGUAGGCACCUCCCGAGUAGCAGUAGUCGUCAUCAACGGUGGCGUCUGGCUCCUGGACUCCAGCAUCUGAUUGCGACAACCAGAAAGAAAGGAAAAGGGGAAAAAGGGGGAGAAAGCAACCGUGAGUACUCAUCCAAAGUACUCACAAGCAAGGAGCUACACUACAUAUGCAUGGGUAUCAAAUGGAAUAAGGGUAUCAUAUGUGGACUGAACUGCAGAAUGUCAGAAUAAGAGGGGGAUAACUAAUCAUGUCGAAGACUACGCUUCUGGCCACCUCCAUCUUGUAGCAUGUAGGAGAGAGUAGAUGGUAAGUUCACCAAGUAGCAACAAGUAGCAUCAUAUAGCAUAAUCCUAACCGAUGAUCCUCCCCUCGUCGCCCUGUGAGAGAGCGAUCACCAGUUGUAUCUGGCACUUGGAAGGGUGUGUUUUAUUAAGUAUCCGGUUCUAGUUGUCAUAAGGUCAAGGUACAACUCCAAGUCGUCCUGUUACCGAAGAUCACGGCUAUUCGAAUAGAUUAACUUCCCUGUAGGGGUGCACCACAUAACCCAACACGCUCGAUCCCAUUUGGCCGGACACACAUUCCUGGGUCAUGCCCGGCCUCGAAAGAUCAACACGUUGCAACCCUACCUAGGCACAACAGAGAGGUCAGCACGCCGGUCUAAAUCCUAUGGCGCAGGGGUCUGGGCCCAUCGCCCAUUGCACACCUGCAUGUUGCAUACACGGCCAGAAGCAGAACUAGCCCCCUUAAUACAAGAGCAGGCUUACGGUCCAAUCCGGCGCGCGCCACUCAGUCGCUGACGUCACGAAGGCUUCGGCUGAUACCACGACGUCGAGUGCCCAUAACUGUCCCCGCAUAGAUGGUUAGUGCGUAUAGGCCAGUAGCUAGACUCAAAUGAAAUACCAAGAUCUCGUUAAACAUGUUAAGUAUCCACGAACACCGACCAGGGCCAGGCCCACCUCUCUCCUAGGUGGUCUCAACCUGCCCUGUCGCUCCGCCACAAAGUAACAUUCGGGGGCUGUCGGGAACCUAGGCCCACCUCUACCAGGAUGGAGCCACCUGCCCCUUCAGCCCCCAACUCCGAACCGUACCACAGGUAAUGUAACUGUGUAAAUUAUAUAGUAUUUGCCCAUGAUCACCUCCCGAAGUGAUCAUGGCCCAGUAGUAUAGCAUGGCAGACGGACAAGAGUGUAGGGCCACUGAUGGAACACUAGCAUCCUAUACUAAGCAGUAGGAUAGCAGGUAAUGGUAACAACAGUAGUAGCAAGGACAGGCUAUGCAUCAGGAUAGGAAUAACGGAAAGCAGUAACAUGCUACACUACUCUAAUGCAAGCAGUAUAGAGAAGAGUAGGCGAUAUCUGGUGAUCAAAGGGGGGGCUUGCCUGGUUGCUCUGGCAAGAGAGAGGGGUCGUCAACACCGUAGUCGAAUUGGGGGGGUUCGCCGACAGCCUCAGGGUCUACCGGAUAGAAGUAACGGAGGGGGAACACAAUAGAUAACAGUCCAAUCAAAGCCUCACAAGGCAUAACAUGACAAUACGCGGUGCUAGGGGUGCCCUAACGCGGUAUGAGGUGGUACCGGUGAAGGGGGGAAACCUCCGGGAAAAUAUCCCCGGGGUUUCGCAUUUUCAAACAGAUGAACUGGAGGAGGAAAGUUGCGUGUUCUCUAUGCUAAGUAUGCGUGGCGGAUGAACGGGCUGCGAAAUCGGGUUCGUCUCGUCGUUCUGAGCAACUUUCAUGUACAAAAUAUUUUCAUCCUUGUUACGGUUUAUUUUAUAUUAUUUUUCGAAGAUUUAAAUCAUUUUUAGAAUUAUCAGAAUUAAUUUAAUUAGAAAAUGCCAUUAUGAUGCCAGCAUGACAUCAGGGUGAUGUCAGCAGUCAACAGUUAGUUGACUUGGUCAAACUGACGCGUGGGUCCCAGUUGUCAUUGACUUAGGUUAAAAACAUGAUUAGUUAAUUUAAUUAAGUGAUUAGGUUAAUUGAACAGGAUUAAUUAAGUUAACUAAUUAGUUAAUUAACUCUUUAAUUAAUUAAUAAUCAAUUAUUUUCAAUUCCCUUUUUAACGUUCUCAGGGGGCAUGGGGCCCCUUGCCCAGUGGCACAGAGGCCACUGGAGCGGGCGCGCGGGUGCGGGGUAACGAGCGCCUGGAACGGGCGCCGGGCACCCACCCAGGUCAACGCGGGAGGGACGGGCGCUGGGUGCCGGCGACCAGCUCGCCGGGGAAGUAGGGCGCAGCCCCGGUAGUGGCGGCCCUGGGGGCGACGUAGGGCGCGGUUUCGCGCGCCAGCGUGCGUGCAUGGGAGUGGCGAGCUGCAGUUGGGCAGGAGCCGGCAGGGAGCAGGGCCGUGGGCGCGUGAGCGGCUGCAAGCGUUGGAGGCGGGGCCGCGCGAGGAGCAUGAGGGGCCGGGGUGGGCGAGGCCAGCACGCGGUAGCAGUAGGAGCUGGCCACGGCGGGCGACCAAGGCCAUGGCCUGCGCGCAGGCGCGCAUCGACGAGGCGGGCCAUGGAUGCAGGGGGUGUGGCCGGCGCAGGUCGCGGCACAGGUAGCAGCAACGACGAAACAUGGGCGAGGCCGGCGGUGCGUGGCGACGCGAGCGAGGCGGGUCGGCGCGGUGAGGCGGUGUGCGUGCGUGUGUGCGUGUGUGCGCGAGGCGGGGAGGAGAGUAGGAGGCCGAGGGCGUCACCGUGGUGCGUGGGGAACGGGACAGUGGUGCGUGAGGAGGGCGGCGGGGACGACGACGUAAAGGAGAAGCAGGCCGGCGGGGGGAGCGAUCCGGGCGUCGAAGGUCGAUUCAGGCGGCGGCGGCGUCCUGGCGUAGGGCCNNNNNNNNNNNNNNNNNNNNNNNNNNNNNNNNNNNNNNNNNNNNNNNNNNNNNNNNNNNNNNNNNNNNNNNNNNNNNNNNNNNNNNNNNNNNNNNNNNNNNNNNNNNNNNNNNNNNNNNNNNNNNNNNNNNNNNNNNNNNNNNNNNNNNNNNNNNNNNNNNNNNNNNNNNNNNNNNNNNNNNNNNNNNNNNNNNNNNNNNNNNNNNNNNNNNNNNNNNNNNNNNNNNNNNNNNNNNNNNNNNNNNNNNNNNNNNNNNNNNNNNNNNNNNNNNNNNNCUUUAUAUGUAGUUUUAUAAUAUAUCAACUCAGUCCCUGAAUUAGCAUUAUUAGUUAGGCUACUCCCAUAAUUAAUUUGGCACUAAAUAAAUUAGUUUUACAUUUGUUUAUUAUUUAAAAGUAUUUAAUAAUUGUUUUAGCCCAUGUUUUUAUUUAGUUUAGGCACUUAAACAUUUUGAAAAAGGUUGGUUCCAACACCCAAAAUAAGUUAGGGAUUAUUUGCCACAUGAUGAUCAUUUUAGUUUUCAUGUUUGAGAAGUUUAGAAUUUCACUUAUUAUUUGAAUUUGAAUUUGAACCGGAUUUGGAUCAAC